ACAUGCUUACAACAUAGCAUUAAUGCAUUGGAUCCCAUUAGAACUCUACAAUUAAGCACGCUUGGGAUAGAGUAGUACUGGGAUGGUUGACUGCCUUGGAAGUCCUAGUAUUUUACAUGCC
rnacentral:rRNA from 1 species